CGGAGGGUGCAAGCGUUAUCCGGAUUCACUGGGUUUAAAGGGUGCGUAGGUGGGCAGGUAAGUCAGUGGUGAAAUCUCCGGGCUUAACCCGGAAACUGCCAUUGAUACUAUCUGUCUUGAAUACCCUGGAGGUGAGCGGAAUAUGUCAUGUAGCGGUGAAAUGCUUAGAUAUGACAUAGAACACCCAUUGCGAAGGCAGCUCACUACGGGAAUAUUGACACUGAGGCACGAAAGCGUGGGGAUCAAACAGGAUUAGAUACCCUGGUAGUCCACGCCCUAAACGAUGGAUACUCGACAUCAGCGAUAAACUGUUGGUGUCUGAGCGAAAGCAUUAAGUAUCCCACCUGGGAAGUACGACCGCAAGGUUG
rnacentral:rRNA from 1 species